UACGUAGGGGGCAAGCGUUGUUCGGAAUUACUGGGCGUAAAGGGCGCGUAGGCGGCGCGGUAAGCGUGCGGUGAAAGCCCGGGGCUCAACCCCGGGUCGGCCGUGCGGACUGCCGGGCUGGAGCACUGUAGAGGCAGGUGGAAUUCCGGGUGUAGCGGUGGAAUGCGUAGAGAUCCGGAAGAACACCGGUGGCGAAGGCGGCCUGCUGGGCAGUAGCUGACGCUGAAGCGCGACAGCGUGGGGAGCAAACAGG
rnacentral:rRNA from 1 species